rnacentral:misc_RNA from 1 species
UUGUUGUACUUUCAAAAUAGCACGCUUCUCUGUGAUUCAUUUGGUCAAUGCACAAAGGUCCUUUCUUUGAUCUUUGAAAUAUUAAUGUGAAGCCCCCCAAAAAAGUAGAAAAACUUAAUUUUUUCAAUUGCAUAAUUUUUAAAUCAUUAAAAGGAAAAAAAAGACAACUAUGUAAGAGUACAAAUGUAUGAGUUCAAAAUGUUUGUAAUUUUUGUUUUGUUUUAGACAAUAUCUCUUUAAUAGAAUUACCGGUAUACACAACUUUUUGUAAGCUUUGAUAUAUGUAUCAUUACAGUACAUACCUACUUGCACAUAGCGCAUUGUUAAAAAUACUCCCCAUCCACUUUGAAACAUCAUUUAUCGGUAAUAAAUUAAAGACUAGGUUGAACUGACAGUAACAUUUUAUAUACAACCAAAAAGUUUGUACUUGACACACACACACUUUUUUUUAUUUAGUUGGCACACUAUGAUAUAUAUAUGCAUUUAUGUGUUUAAUAGAUAAACUUAAUUACGGACACAAAAAACUGUCUGAAACAUUCCAGAAAAAACAAAAUCCUAUGUACUUAAGGGUUAUUAGAAGUGUAAUAAUACUAUGUUUUCCUUCUGUUGCAUAUAGAUGAUUGUGAAUAAUUUACAUGGUAUUUGCAUGUACAUUUGAUUUUUUAAGACAAGAAUUAAUUAAAUGGUUUUAUUUUUAUUCAACUAUAAAAUAUGUAAGUCUUAGCAACUGAGCACCAUACUCUCCCAACACUAGGUUGUAUGAAAACAUUUUUUUUAGAAGCCCCUUUGAGAUAGUAAAGGAGAGAUUAACAAAAGCAAGAUGACAUACGUGUAAAUACUGUUAUGGCCCAAUGAUAGACUUUGUCGAGAUUGACGUACAGCCAACUCGUUUGUGAUAACUUUUCAAUAUGUGUGUAUAGCUGUUCAUGUGUAUCGUGUUGUCUCUUUGAUAUCAUCAUAUUUCCUCACAAAAGACAAUUGGAAAAAAAAUCUUAUUAAUAUCAUAACUGUAAAAAUAAACUGUAUAUAUAUA